CCAAAGAGUGAUGUCACCUCUGAGGCGGAGCGCGAUGAUGCUUCCCAUCCAAUUUCACCUGAGGAGUUCUCUCUAACAGACUACCUGAAGUCUCACCCUCAGAGAAAGCUUAUCAGGAAGUUCCUCAAACAAAUGAACAUGACAAUAGGCGACCUGGAAGAGGUAAUCGAGUGGGUGGUGUGUGUCUCCAAUGAGGUGUUCCUCCCAGCGAUGACUCUGCACAGGACCUCCAGUCCAGAGUCGUCAGACUCGUCCCGCUGGGGGUCAGGUGUGCUCCAGAUCAUCUCGGAGAAGUUCCACCAGCGGAGUUCUGGGCUGAGGAAAAGGCUCCUGGGCGGGCAGCCACCCAC